GACGAACGCUGGCGGCGUGCCUAAUACAUGCAAGUCGAACGAGAGCGACCGGUGCUUGCACUGGUCAAUCUAGUGGCGAACGGGUGAGUAACACGUGGGUAACCUGCUCAUCAGAGGGGGAUAACAUCCGGAAACGGAUGCUAAAACCGCAUAGGUCUUCGAGCCGCAUGGCUUGAAGAGGAAAAGAGGCGCAAGCUUCUGCUGAUGGAUGGACCCGCGGUGCAUUAGCUAGUUGGUGAGGUAACGGCUCACCAAGGCCGUGAUGCAUAGCCGACCUGAGAGGGUGAUCGGCCACAUUGGGACUGAGACACGGCCCAAACUCCUACGGGAGGCAGCAGUAGGGAAUCUUCCGCAAAGGACGCAAGUCUGACGGAGCAACGCCGCGUGAGUGAAGAAGGUGUUCGGAUCGUAAAACUCUGUUGUUAGAGAAGAACAAGUGCUAGAGUAACUGUUAGCGCCUUGACGGUAUCUAACCAGAAAGCCGCGGCUAACUACGUG
rnacentral:rRNA from 1 species